UACGAAGGGGGCUAGCGUUGUUCGGAAUCACUGGGCGUAAAGCGCACGUAGGCGGAUCUUUAAGUCAGGGGUGAAAUCCCGGAGCUCAACUCCGGAACUGCCUUUGAUACUGAGAGUCUCGAGUUCGGGAGAGGUGAGUGGAACUGCGAGUGUAGAGGUGAAAUUCGUAGAUAUUCGCAAGAACACCAGUGGCGAAGGCGGCUCACUGGCCCGAUACUGACGCUGAGGUGCGAAAGCGUGGGGAGCAAACAGG
rnacentral:rRNA from 1 species